UUUAUUUAUUAGUAAUCUUGUUACAGAUACAAUGUAGAAGCUGUGGAUCUAACAGAGCUGCCAUGGGUUAGCAGUUCUGUUUCAAACUAUAAAAUAUUAUUCUCAAUUAUGCAAAAACUAAAUAAUUAAAGAAUGGAGGAGAAUGAUGAAGUAAGGAAUGAUGCUAGACUUGUAAAGAAGGACAAGGAUGGCGACGAGGGAGAGGAGAAGAGUCCUGAGCUGAAUAUACAACCUGGAGAAACUAUUCAAGGGUCUGAAACUAGUUACAGAGUUAUUAGACGGAUAGGCGAGGGUCGAUGCAGUGUUGUUUAUAGUGGAGAAACAAUCAACUCUGCUGAACCUGUGGCUCUUAAGUUUUUCAGGACUGGAAGCACGUUCAAGAGUGCAGCUGAAGCAGAAGCUAAAGUAUUUACUCUGCUUGCAGGUUCAGUCAAGACAUCGGUCAGUCUGUACAGUACAACAAUAUACAAGGGCCUGAUAUGUUUUGUAUUGGAGCUUUUAGACCUCAAUAUUCGACAGCUAAUAAUCAAGAAUAUUCGGAGUGGACUACCUGUGUGGACCACCCUGAAGUUUGCCAGGGAUAUUUUCAGUUUUCUCCAACCUUUACAUCAGGCUAAUUAUGUGCAUGGAGAUAUCAAACCUGGGAAUAUUAUGUGGUCCGGACAGGAUGGUUGCUUCAAGUGCUUUGAUUUUGGACUGAGUUACAGUUUAGAUUCUACAGUUCUCCACCUGACCCAGAGUACAGGCUACCGAGCUCCGGAGCUGACCCGCAGCUAUAAAGGAGCUGCUUCCCACCAGUCUACUGCAAGGGGCGGAUACAUCUACCUGAGAUCUAGAAACAACAACUACAGUGUAGAAAGUAUAUCUGGAGCUGGGACGGAUAUCUGGGCACUAGGUUGUAUUCUUAUGGAGUGUGUACUUGGUAGAAAACUAUUCAGGGCGGGCGAUAGGCUCUCUUCACAUCUCAGGGUUUAUGAUUUGGUUGAGCUGAGACUGGAGGAAGUUAGAUCCAGGUUUGAAGAACACCAGCAGUCAGAAAUAUUUCAGCAUCUCAAGGAUUUAAUACUGCGCUGUCUGGAGGAAAAUCCCGACAAUAGAAUAACUGCUGAAGAAGCACUAAAACAUCCUGCUCUAACCAGUAGUAUAGCUCUCUCCAGAGCAGACACUAUCCUUCUUCCCUCGCCUGUUCUUAGCUUCAGCUCUGUCGACCCCGCCCAUCUGAGGGCGGUCCAGGAGAAGCUAAAUUAUAGCCAGGUUCUAGAGCAGAGGAUCCAUGGGAACCAGUUGUUCGUCCAUUUCAAAAGUAUCAAGGAGUCUAUCAGGGCUAAGUCCAUCCUAUCCUGUGAAGGAGUUCGUAAUAUUGAUUUAUUCUCAACUGAGGAUAUUAUUAUUUAUAAACAUCAAACUGCCACCAGCAAUUAUACAACAGAAUUCUAUCCCUUGGAACUUUGGUAUAAAAUGGAAGAGGCGGUGUAAUUUACUACAAAGGUUUAAAUUUUAGAAAUGGUGGGAAAGAAAAAAAAUAGGUCUGGACUAAAACUCCGCAAUUCAGUUGGGACUUGAUAUUCUCUCCUGGUAGCUGAAACUCAGAGCAAUUCCUAUAUUUCAUGAUUUGAUUUGGUUUCAUUAAAUUCUUUUUUACUUAAGCGGUAUGCCUUUUUCUCAAAGAAUUCUUCGGGAGAAACAAAAACCUUUACAACCCUCUUUUACCUAAUCUAAUCCUAAGCUUUCUAAGCUUUGGAUUUUAGCAAAUUAUGUACCUAGUCCAGUUCAAAGAGAUAUUCUAUAAUAUGCAAAAAUCCACGAAAAUUCAAAUGUACCAGUCACGAUAACAUUUGUACCAGUGUGCUAUGAUUUACGACGUUAAAGCAUAAUUUCAAGUGACCCGCUAUGCAAAGAUGACAAUGUUCGAUAAACAACGGGUCAGCCGAACUUCCGCUUACAGUUCCUGUAAAUUACCUUUUUAAAAUGUUAUCAAUGCAUUAUUUAGAAACGUAGUGUCUUCAUGUAAAAAUUAUUCUAUGCAACUAAAUUUACACCGUCACUUAUGAUUCUUUUUUUAGAUUGUACUUUUAUAGAAUUUUUAGAUUUUUUAUUGAUAGUUUUAAGUUUUUAGUUUUUGUUUUCACAGAGUUAUGUUUAUUAGACUGAAUGUCAUGAUAAAAU
rnacentral:misc_RNA from 1 species